AAACACCACCUUUGGACACACAGCAGAGUCUCACAUGUAGGUGCUGGAAAGAUGAUACGGCUUGGUGUGUUUCACUUUGAAGGCUGCAAAACCUCUGCAAACCCAUCCCUGGAAUCCGGUGAUCCUGAUUCUGAAGAAGGUAAAAUUUUCUGAUGAGUUUUUUUAAUAGCUCGAGAAGUUUUAUUCAUGGACUUCCUCCAUUAUGACAUGGUCUCAUGGAUAACUACAUGGAAGCUGCUGGAAGGAGAGGCACAUUCUUCUUGCAGAUGAAAGCAUAGUUCAAGAAAUAAUCUUGUUCAACUUCUAAACACAUCUGCUCAUAAAAAAAAGUAAAAUAAAAAAUUAUUUAGAAAUGCAGUUGAAUUCACUUGAUGCAUCUAUGUAAAUCUAGGGAUGCUACU